UUCAUUCAUGUGUGUUACGUUAAUUUAACUGGGGUUUAGUUCUUUGUGUUUAUCUGUGUCAUUGUGUGAUUGAAGGUUGACUCGUUGAACUGCACUUUUUCUGUUAACUGCAAUUCACUUUAGAUAAAAAAAAAUUGUAUAUCCUUGUAUACAUUGUGUUUGUGGUAUCUGGAUAGCAUAAUUAUUGUGGGAAGUCGAGGUACUUGUUUAUAUUGGUAUUGUUACUAGAAAUUCACCUUUUGUUGGUGGCGUCUGUGUCUGCUGCAUCUUUAUCAUCUUUUGAGUGUCCUCUCAACUUUGCCUCGCGCUAAUUGCCCGAUCUCUAUGAGGAAAUAUACUUUUAUGUAAACUAUUAGUCCCUUUAGUUAUAAUUCAUCUGCAACAUAAUGGCCAAAAAAGUUCGCUUAGAUGCAAUGUUAUCAAAAGCAGAAAGCGCAAAAAGGCGCAAAGGGAGAAAAAUUACAAAUAUAUAUAUGUUUAGUCCAAGACUAAUAAUUUAUUAGCAUGAAUGACAAAUAUAUGAACACAGAAAUUGAAAAAUAAUUACGAUAAAGUGAACUAUCAAUUGUUUAGUGCAUCUCUUCAGAAGAGGUUCAUUAGAUAGGAAAAAUAUGUCUUAGAACCUUGGUGACGACACUGAAGUGCACAUUAACCGACGCGAAGCGCUCAACAUGUUUUGAGGCUCGCUUCAGGGCUUAAGCACGCUUCAAGCGCACCUUUGAUAACACUGCUUAGAUGUAGUGAGAUAUUUUGUUCUGUGUUCUCCUUUUGAGCAAUUACUUUGUUCUAGUAGGUUAUUACUUCAUCAAGACUGAAGAAGGGUGAUUUGUUUUUGGCUGAUGUCAACACUCAAUUGAAGAACAAGAAUGUUACUGCUGACAUUAAAGUAGACACAAGCUCCAAUCUUUUCACAACCAUUACAAUUGAUGAAGCUGCUCCUGGGUUGAAGACAAUUUUAAGCUUCAGAGUUCCUGACCAAAGGUCUGGAAAGGAACGACAAGGGGGACUCUGAGUGCAUCAUACUACCACACACUCAGCCCCCUCAAUACUGCUGUUGGCGCAGAGGUGGCCCAUAGCUUCUCCACCAAAGAGAACACCAUUACUGCUGGUACUCAGCAUCAGUUGGAUCAGCUGACUACUGUGAAGGCGAGUGUAAACAAUUUUGGCAAGGCAACUGCACUGCUGUUGCUUUUAAGCCAUAGGCUACUGAUGGGUUUGGAGAUAUGAGGCACUAGUUCAAUUGGAAUUAUGCUCGUUCUUUGGCGAUUUUAGUGUUUGGACUGUAUAAAUAACUAGGCAGUUUCUAGAACCAGUAUCUUCUUUUUCCAAGUUCAUAUAUUCUUAUUCAUCCUCUUGCUAGAA